rnacentral:rRNA from 1 species
GACGAACGCUGGCGGCGUGCUUAACACAUGCAAGUCGAACGGUAAGGCCUUUCGGGGUACCCGAGUGGCGAACGGGUGAGUAACACGUGGGUGAUCUGCCCUGCACUUCGGGAUAAGCCCGGGAAACUGGGUCUAAUACCGGAUAGGACUGCGCGGUGCAUGCCGUGUGGUGGAAAGAUUUAUCGGUGCAGGAUGGGCCCGCGGCCUAUCAGCUUGUUGGUGGGGUAAUGGCCUACCAAGGCGACGACGGGUAGCCGGCCUGAGAGGGCGACCGGCCACACUGGGACUGAGACACGGCCCAGACUCCUACGGGAGGCAGCAGUGGGGAAUAUUGCACAAUGGGCGCAAGCCUGAUGCAGCGACGCCGCGUGAGGGAUGACGGCCUUCGGGUUGUAAACCUCUUUCAGCAGGGACGAAGCGUGAGUGACGGUACCUGCAGAAGAAGCACCGGCCAACUACGUG